rnacentral:rRNA from 1 species
UACGUAGGUGGCAAGCGUUGUCCGGAUUUACUGGGCGUAAAGAGCGCGCGGGCGGUCGUUCAAGUCGCGUGUGAAAGCCCCCGGCUCAACUGGGGAGGGUCACGCGAUACUGAUCGACUCGAAGGCAGGAGAGGGUAGUGGAAUUCCCGGUGUAGUGGUGAAAUGCGUAGAUAUCGGGAGGAACACCUGUGGCGAAGGCGGCCGACUGGGCCGACCCUGACGCUGAGGCGCGAAGGCGUGGGGAGCGAACGGG